rnacentral:lncRNA from 1 species
AAAACAGUUGCAUUGAAAGCUGGCAUUGAGACUUUAGACCACUAUUUGGAUGAUUUUUUCUUUGCUGGUGAAAGUUCAACGGAUAAUUGUACCAUUUUGAUGGACACUUUUAAUGAAGUAUGUAGGCAGUUAGGUGUUCCACUAGCAGAGAAUAAAACAGUAGGUCCUACCACAUGUAUCACAUUUUUAGGCCUUGAAAUUGACACAGUACUUAUGUUGGUUAGAAUCCCCC